UACGUAGGGGGCUAGCGUUGUCCGGAAUCAUUGGGCGUAAAGAGCGUGUAGGCGGCCCGGUAAGUCCGCUGUGAAAGUCGGGGGCUCAACCCUCGAAUGCCGGUGGAUACUGUCGGGCUAGAGUGCGGUAGGGGAGAUUGGAAUUCCUGGUGUAGCGGUGGAAUGCGCAGAUAUCAGGAGGAACACCGAUGGCGAAGGCAGAUCUCUGGGCCGUAACUGACGCUGAGGAGCGAAAGCAUGGGGAGCGAACAGG
rnacentral:rRNA from 1 species